rnacentral:rRNA from 1 species
AGCAGCCGCGGUAAUUCCAGCUCCAAUAGCGUAUAUUAAAGUUGUUGCAGUUAAAAAGCUCGUAGUUGAAUUUCGGGGUCAGUAGGCUGGUCGUGCCCCCGGUACGUACUGGUCUAACUGAUUCCUCCUUCCUGAAGAACCGUAAUGCCAUUAAUUUGGUGUUGCGGGGAAACAGGACUGUUACUUUGAAAAAAUUAGAGUGUUUAAAGCAAGCUAACGCUUGAAUACAUUAGCAUGGAAUAAUGAAAUAGGACGAUCAAUCCUAUUUUGUUGGUUUCUAGGAUUGACGUAAUGAUUAAUAGGGAUAGUUGGGGGCAUUAGUAUUCAAUUGUCAGAGGUGAAAUUCUUGGAUGUAU